CUCUUCUUGCCAUCUUUCAUGCAUCAUUCUCCAUAUAUUUUCUGGACGAAAAUAGUUUGAUUCCUAGAAAAAAAAGUGCAAUUGUGUGAAGCCGGAACUUGGCAGUGUGUUGAGAUUGACAGUAGCGCUGGCAAUUAAUACAGUUACGUAGCAAGAAGAUAUUAUGACUAUGCAUGUGCCCACCAGUACAAAGGCAAUUUUAUGAAAGCAACAGUAUCGGGAGCUAUUAGUACAUGGCUUCGCAGCCAUUC